GGCGCGCAAAUUACCCACUCCCGGCACGGGGAGGUAGUGACGAAAAAUAACGAUACGGGACUCAUCCGAGGCCCCGUAAUCGGAAUGAGUACACUUUAAAUCCUUUAACGAGGAUCAAUUGGAGGGCAAGUCUGGUGCCAGCAGCCGCGGUAAUUCCAGCUCCAAUAGCGUAUAUUAAAGUUGUUGCGGUUAAAAAGCUCGUAGUCGAAUUUGUGUCUCAUGCCGCUGGUUCAUCGUUCGCGGUGUAAACUGGCGUGACAUGGGACGUCCUGCCGGUGGGCUUAGCUCUUAACGGGGCGGCCCUAUAUAAUCCUGCCGCGUUGCUCUUAAUCGAGUGUCGAGGUGGGCCGGCUCAUUUACUUUGAACAAAUUAAAGUGCUUAAAGCAGGCUAAAAUUUUGCCUGAAUACGUGUGCAUGGAAUAAUGGAAUAGGACCUCGGUUCUAUUUUGUUGGUUUUAGGAACACGAGGUAAUGAUUAAUAGGAACGGAUGGGGGCAUUCGUAUUGCGACGUUAGAGGUGAAAUUCUUGGAUCGUCGCAAGACGAACAUAAGCGAAAGCAUUUGCCAAAAACGUUUUCAUUGAUCAAGAACGAAAGUUAGAGGUUCGAAGGCGAUCAGAUACCGCCCUAGUUCUAACCAUAAACGAUGCCAGCCAGCGAUCCGCCGAUGUUCCUCCGAUGACUCGGCGGGCAGCUUCCGGGAAACCAAAGCUUUUGGGUUCCGGGGGAAGUAUGGUUGCAAAGCUGAAACUUAAAGGAAUUGACGGAAGGGCACCACCAGGAGUGGAGCCUGCGGCUUAAUUUGACUCAACACGGGAAACCUCACCAGGCCCAGACACUGGGAGGAUUGACAGAUUGAGAGCUCUUUCUUGAUUCAGUGGGUGGUGGUGCAUGGCCGUUCUUAGUUGGUGGAGCGAUUUGUCUGGU
rnacentral:rRNA from 1 species